CCUACGGGAGGCAGCAGUGGGGAAUAUUGGGCAAUGGGCGCAAGCCUGACCCAGCAACGCCGCGUGAAGGAAGAAGGCUUUCGGGUUGUAAACUUCUUUUAUCAGGGACGAAGCAAGUGACGGUACCUGAUGAAUAAGCCACGGCUAACUACGUGCCAGCAGCCGCGGUAAUACGUAGGCGGCAAGCGUUAUCCGGAUUUAAUGGGUGUAAAGGGCGUGUAGGCGGGAGCGCAAGUCAGAUGGGAAAACUAUGGGCUCAACCCAUAGCCUGCAUUUGAAACUGUACUUCUAGAGUGCUCGAGAGGCAAUCGGAAUUCCGGGUGUAGCGGUGAAAUGCAUAGAUAUACGGAGGAACACCAGUGGCGAAGGCGGCUUACUGGACAGUAACUGACGCUGAGGCGCGAAAGCGUGGGUAGCGAACGGGAUUAGAUACCCUUGUAGUC
rnacentral:rRNA from 1 species